rnacentral:sRNA from 1 species
UGGUUUUGGCACUGGUCGCCGCAUACGAC